AGGAGUCGUGUGCGUUAAUUGCGCCCGCACGGAUCUGUGAGGGGGGAGGAGCACAAUCCUACACAAAGGAGAGGCUCCCUCCUACUCGAC
rnacentral:misc_RNA from 1 species